rnacentral:rRNA from 1 species
AGAGUUUGAUCMUGGCUCAGGGUGAACGCUGGCGGCGUGCUUGACACAUGCAAGUCGAACGGUAUGUGGCAACACAUAGAGUGGCGAACGGGUGAGUAACACGUGGGAACGUAUCUUUUGCAGGGGGAUAACUGACCGAAAGGACAGCUAAUACCGCAUAAGUCCGRGAGGAGAAAGGUGCAAMAGCAUCGGCAGAAGAGCGGCCCGCGGUCCAUCAGCUAGUUGGUGAGGUAAGGGCUUACCAAGGCGACGACGGAUAGCCGGCGUGAGAGCGUGGCCGGCCACAAGGACACUGAGAUACGGGUCCUACUCCUACGGGAGGCAGCAGUGCGGAAUUUUAGAUAAUGGAGGGAACUCUGAUCUAGCGACGCCGCGUGCAGGAAGAAGGUCUUCGGAUUGUAAACUGCUGUGGUAAGGGAAAAAUGCUAUGUAGAGUGGAAAGCUACAUAGAGGGAUGGUACCUUACUAGAAAGCCCCGGCUAACUACGUGCCAGCAGCCGCGGUAAUACGUAGGGGGCGAGCGUUACCCGGAAUCACUGGGCGUAAAGGGAGCGUAGGUGGCCUAACAUGUCAACUGUGAAAACCCGGAGCUCAACUCCGGACUUGCAGUUGAAACUGGUAGGCUUGAGGACGGUAGAGGAAGACGGAACUGCCAGUGUAGGGGUAAAAUCCUUAGAUAUUGGCAGGAACGCCGGUGACGAAGGUGGUUUUCUGGGCCGGUUCUGACACUGAUGCUCGAAAGCCAGGGGAGCGAACGGGAUUAGAUACCCCGGUAGU